CGCCGCGGGGCGAGAGCCGCCGCCGCCGCCGCCGCUCCCAAGAUGGCAGCCUCCAGAUAUCUCUCCUUCCUUUUCUGUGUCAAGUUGGAAAGAAAAGCUGGAGGCCUCUUGCAGAGAUCCUGGAGUUUCUCCUGACAUCUCCUGCUGUGAGGAAAGGUGGGGAAUCAAGUCCUCUGAAGCUGGAAAGUGCCAGAUAUUUGUCCAUCUGGCCAACUCAAAUUCAGCCUCGUGUUUGUGUGUUCUGCUAUGAUGUUUGUGUGUUCUGUUAUGGUCCUCAAUUGCCUUUGUAAAGGACCCUUUCUUCCCAAGGGCUCUGCUUCACUUGAGGCAUGGUCUGGUUGCAAAAUGAAAAUUUAAAAAUUAGGAAAUACCAAACCUGGGGUUUCCCAAGUAUCCUUAGUUCUGCAGCUUUGCAUGCCAGCCCUUCUCCAUUUCACGCCUAGCCUGAACAUAAAAAGUGUCAAAAUUGAUGCUAUCUGGGUGAUUGCAAAUGUGCUAUUUCCUAACUUCUAAAAGUUUGAUUUUGCAACUGUUACAAUCUCAUAAUGCUCUUUCUUUGGUCUUUUCUACAGUGUAGAAAAAUGCUCACGUGAUCCAACAGUCCAAAUGGAUCAGCAAUGUGAACGGGUUGUGGGCUCCCAGUACUGCAUUAUUGCACUUGGUGGAUCAGUUCAUCCAUUCAUAUGCACUUGUCACUUUUCAAGCAACAAAAUCAAAUGCUAGCCUAAACUCCUAGGUUUGUGAAUGAGAAAAGCAAAUAAUGUGUGGGCUGUAAGAGGAAAUUCAGCCUUUAUACUUAACAGUAAAGCAGAAUACCAAGAAAACUGACAGAUAUCUUAAAAUUAACAGGAAGAAACUCCCUCCCUGGCCCCCAAAGCAUGCUAUGGAGAAGUUUAAAACACUUUCAGCCAAAAUAUAGACCAAAUAUUGUAGAUGCUUUUUAUUUUGGGUCUUGCACACUUGGGUGCUGAGCUGAAACAUAGCAAAUUACACCUUGUUCUUGGUUUUGUCACUGAUCCGCUACAUAACACAAGCAGACCCAGCCCUUCCGAGUUUUACCUAUUUAACGAGUAGGCUUUUAAGGCAGAUUGUCCCUUUACUAUCGAUUUGUCCUUAUGUGAGUGCCUACUCAUAUUAAAUCUAAUGGUUACAUUACAUUACAAGGUUUUAGCCCUAAUUUAUUUUCCUUUUCUGCAAGGAAUCUUCUUCUGUGUAUUGCAGCACCAGUGGAGGUGAAGAGGUGCAGCUGAAUUGUUAAGACAGAGCCCUUCCCAAAUGGCUCUUGAUCAUUGUAACGCACUGACUAAAUAUGACAAAUUUUUCUGCAUCAGCAGUGCUUUGCUGGAUCUAAGUGUACUGACCCAUUCUCAGUAGAAGCUUUUUGACGCAAAUGCCCAAAGGCGUGUAAGUUCCUGUUAUUUGUAACUCUAAACUGUUUAAAAGUGACUUGAGUUUUGAGAAGAUAUUACUUCUGUUACUAUUUCUAUUUCUUUGUAAAAUAUUUCUUUGUCUGAAGCAGCAUGGCACUUGACAGCAUUUUCAGAUUAAAUGUGGCUAAGCACCAUUUUACUGUAUUUGACUAUAAAAGAAACUUAGCCCAAUACCUGCAUACAGAAGAAUGGAGUUUUGUUCACCAGAGUAUCCCCAGUUAGUUGAUUUGUUGUUUUGGAUUUGAUUCAGCAAAAUGAGUGCACCCCUGUGUUGUUCUGGGGAUAUGCCCAGUCCUGUGAUGGGCUGCAGAGCACACGAAAGCACUGAACACACUGGUGUGCUUCUCCUGUGUAAAGGGGGUAGAGGCAUAGCCCAGACUCUCUCCAUAUGUUUGAAAGCAACUCUUAAAAAGCGACUAUUUAGUCCCUUCAGCAGGAAUGUGUGGGGCAAAAUGAAAGUAGACAUCUUCCAUACUUGGAAAGACAUACGCCGCUGCAAGAAAGGUAGCACUGCUGCCAGUGCAUUAUGGUAGGUACCACAUGCAUAAGCCUCUGCAUGACCUCUACUAAGUUAGCAUUUAAAGCGAAGUUAGCUCUGAAGAGAAAUCUGCUCAGGAAUGCAGGUGGAAAGCCUGAGACACCUUCAUCUUACUUAAUCUAGGGAAAUAAAACCUUUUAAUGGUCAGUCUGGUAUCACAGCUGACUGACUUCACAGGCUCUCCAGGAUGAGUUGAUAUGUUCAGCAGCAGACUGGAACCCAUGACCCUUUGUGGUCAGCUUUAUUACCUGUUUUGCGGCCACUUUCAUUUAGCUCAUUUCAGUUUAGCUCAUUCCUGAGCUAAUAAGAAGAUUAGCUGAAAAAAAAAAGAUUAGGUAUUAAGAUGCCUCUUUCUGUCUUGGAGAGUCUUACCUGUUUUCCUAUAAAAACUUCUCAGGUGACUCUCACUCCCUUGAACACUUUCCUUUAGACUGUCCAGUGUAUUAAGGAUCAGAUGGGAGAAAAGAGCAGGUUUAGAUAAAUUAAAUGUCAAGAAGGUCUAAGUUAACCAAAUGAAAAAGUAUUUCUGAUGUCUUUUCUUCAGACAUACGUAUUCUUCCACUGGCAAUACAGAGAGAGGCUUGUGAUACAGAAAGGGGAAUUUGACUCAGAGGUAAAUUUCUAAAGCAAUCUUCCUUUAAAGACUCUGGUAUAUUUUGUUUAGAUUAUUUUCAAUAAGGGCUUCGGUUUAUCUUUUCAGUUUGACACUCUUCCAGCCUCUCAAGCAUAUAUGUUAAAAAAAAAUACGAGUCAACUCAGAUUCAAUUGCUAGGUACGGCACCUUGCUCUAAGAUAAUACAGCACCUAGCCUAAUUUUGCAUACUAUGGCCCCAACAAUUUUACCUGUGGAGCUACCACAGUAAUUCACAGCAACUUAUUCUAUUUUUGUUUGUUUUUUCUGUCCAUAUGUGUGAAAAUACCAUGGUUUUUUUGUAAGUUUAUUCAGAAUUAUUUGCCAGUAGCUUCUCUGGCUGUCUUUUAUGGUAAUUCUAGCUAUGAAAAAGAUUGUGUAAGAUCUCCAUAAGCUUCAUCAAAGCCUGCUAAAAUUGAGCUUGUAGAUUGCUGUAUUUGAAGAACUUGAACUUCCCUUGUUUGCAGAAAAACAGAUGUUUCAGCAUGCCAUAUGUAUCAGUUUGCCACAUUAUAUAAGGAGUUUACACUAAAAAUGGGCAUCUCUAAGAAUAAUUUAUGGAAUGAGAUCAAAAUACUUGGGCUGGUACAUGGUGUCUUCUAAGAAGGGCUGAGAGGAGCAGGCCUUUCUGGAGUUGGUUCUCUUCAUUCCGCUCAGGAAUAUUAAAACCACCUUCAUGGGUAAUGAAAGUGUGCUGUAGUAUUAUAAUGUGCUAGGGGUGUUCUUAUCCUCGAUAUUUUUGUAGAGACAAUGGACUACACACACAAAAAAAAUUGCCAUAAUGUGAUUUAAUGGAUGCUUUUGCAAGACUUUUUUCU